AGUCAGCAAGGCGAGGUUUGAAGCUUGAUAUUCUCCUGGGAAAAUGACUACUACAUCUCCACUAUAGCAGCUGUCUAAAGCCAGGUUCAGAUCAUCAUGCUGCUGGAGAAGGGUGUCCGAAGACAAGUUCUUUACCUGAAAGGAAAAAGCAAGCCGUGCACCUUCACCAGCAUGCUACCUGAGCACUUCCUGGACGCAACUGCCAUUCUCUUCAGAACACUUACCUAAAGAGUAUGCAUUCAUCUGCCGACCAUUAAUUAUCAGUUCUUCUAUAGGACUCUGCAGAAAUGUAAGAAGUAUCUUCACUAACCAACCAAGCAACAAACCAACCAAGCAACCAAGCAACCAAAAAAAGCCUACUAAAAAUACAUUUCUGAUCUCAAAA